GACGAACGCUGGCGGCGUGCCUAAUACAUGCCAGUCGAACGCUGAAGGAGGAGCUUGCUUCUCUGGAUGAGUUGCGAACGGGUGAGUAACGCGUAGGUAACCUGCCUGGUAGCGGGGGAUAACUAUUGGAAACGAUAGCUAAUACCGCAUAAUAGCAGUUGUUGCAUGACAACUGUUUGAAAGGUGCAAUUGCACCACUACCAGAUGGACCUGCGUUGUAUUAGCUAGUUGGUGGGGUAACGGCUCACCAAGGCGACGAUACAUAGCCGACCUGAGAGGGUGAUCGGCCACACUGGGACUGAGACACGGCCCAGACUCCUACGGGAGGCAGCAGUAGGGAAUCUUCGGCAAUGGACGGAAGUCUGACCGAGCAACGCCGCGUGAGUGAAGAAGGGUUUCGGAUCGGAAAGCUCUGUUGUAAGAGAAGAACGAGUGUGAGAGUGGAAAGUUCACACUGUGACGGUAGCUUACCAGAAAGGGACGGCUAACUACGUG
rnacentral:rRNA from 1 species